GGCUGGGUGGCCUAAUGGCUUAAGGCAUCACUUUCCGGUUCCCCACUGAGAUUGGUGAAGAUUGCGGGUUCGAGUCCCGUCCUGGUCG
rnacentral:tRNA from 1 species